rnacentral:rRNA from 1 species
CGGGGCCCCGCACAAGCAGCGGAGCAUGCGGCUUAAUUCGACGCAACGCGAAGAACCUUACCAAGGCUUGACAUAUACAGGAAUACGGCAGAGAUGUCGUAGCGGUAAAACGUCUGUAUACAGGUGGUGCAUGGUUGUCGUCAGCUCGUGUCGUGAGAUGUUGGGUUAAGUCCCGCAACGAGCGCAACCCUCGUUCUGUGUUGCCAGCAUUUAGUUGGGGACUCACAGGAGACUGCCGGGGUUAACUCGGAGGAAGGUGGGGAUGACGUCAAAUCAUCAUGCCCCUUAUGUCUUGGGCUGCACGCAUGCUACAAUGGCUGGUACAAACGGCUGCAAUACCGCAAGGUGGAGCGAAUCCGAUAAAGCCAGUCUCAGUUCGGAUUGGGGUCUGCAACUCGACCCCAUGGAGUCGGAGUUGCUAGUAAUCGUAGAUCAGCAACGCUACGGUGAAUACGUUCCCGGGGCUGUACACACCGCCCGUCACGUCACGA